rnacentral:lncRNA from 1 species
UAAAUCGAACCCCGUUCUUAGCAGCAGGUGCAGAAUAGAAGAACCGCCUUACAUAAUGCCCCGCAGGCCCCCACACCCAACGAAAACGGGUUGAUUAAUUUAUUUCCGUCGGGCUUGCAGAGGUGUCGCUGAGAUGAAAGAAACGAAUGGUCUCUAUCGAAGUCCCAGCCUGCUUUGUGGCCGCACUUUCCCAAAUUAAAACACCUGGAGUUCUUAAACCUGCUCCGAUGUUUUCUAGAUGAACUAUUGAAACUCCAAACUGGCACAGUUAGUGGCACAUUGUUCCUGUACAAGUAUCAACUCAUGUCCCAAGGACCAGAUGAGUGGAGAUAUUUAGGAACAUUUGACUAUCAUGUUCCUCAAGGUAAGUUCUGGAGACAAUGAUUCAGAAUGCAGUUCCACUGCCCUUGAAAAGAUCACAGUACGGGACGCCUGGGUGGCUCAGCAUUUGAGCAUCUGCCUUCGGCUCAGGGCGUGACCCCGGGAUCCUGGGAUCGAG